AACAUAUUGAAGGGGUGCCCUAAUGGGCUGAGAUUAGACCCUAGAACCUGUUGAGAUAAUGCUCGCGUAGGAAUCAAUUAUAAUUUUGAA
rnacentral:ncRNA from 2 species